UUAGGUCAGCGGCGGACGGGUGAGUACACGUGGGUAACCUGCCUGUUAAGACUGGGAUAACUCCCGGGAAACCGGGGCUAAUACCGGAUGCUUGAUUGAACCGCAUGGUUCAAUCCUUAAAUGUGGCUUUUAGCUACCACUUGCAGAUGGACCCGCGGCGCAUUAGCUAGUUGGUGAGGUAACGGCUCACCAAGGCGACGAAUGCGUAGCCGAACUGAGAGGGUGAUCGGCCACACUGGGACUGAGUACACGGCCCAGACUCCUACGGGGAGGCAGCAGUAGGGAAUCUUCCGCAAUGGACGAAAGUCUGACGGAGCUACGCCGCGUUGAGUGAUGAAGGUUUUCGGAUCGUAAAACUCUGUUGUUAGGGAAGUACAAGUACCGUUCGAAUAGGUCGGUACCUUGACGGUACCUAACCUAGUUAGCCACGGCUUACUACGUGCCAGCAGCCGCGGUAAUACGUAGGUGGCAAGCGUUGUCCGGAAUUAUUGGGCGUAAAGCGCGCGCAGGCGGUUUCUUAAGUCUGAUGUGAAAGCCCCCGGCUCAACCGGGGAGGGUCAUUGGAAACUGGGGAACUUGAGUGCAGAAGAGGAGAGUG
rnacentral:rRNA from 1 species